rnacentral:rRNA from 1 species
GGUGUUGAUGGCAUUGAGGGUACACCUGUUCCCAUUCCGAACACAGAAGUUAAGCUCAAUAACGCCGAUGAUACUUGGGCGGUGACGCCCCGGGAAAAUAGGAAGGUGCC